rnacentral:ncRNA from 1 species
GUCGGCGUCGUCACCGUCCAGCCGCAGCCCGUGCCGGUCGUCUCCGAACUGCCGGGCCGUACGAGCGCCUAUCUGGUCGCGCAGGUGCGCGCACGGGUCGACGGCAUCGUGUUGCGGCGCGAGUUCACGGAAGGCAGCGACGUCAAGGCCGGCCAGCGCCUGUACAAGAUCGA